UGUCCUGGCUGUGGAUAACCCUGAAUGGAUUCAGCAAGUUGGGAAGUCUAUUCAAUCUACGAAAGAUGAGGAAAGUGAAUGCAGCUCAAAGAAAAAGCUAAGGCCCAUAUCCAAACAAGAGCAAGGAAAAGUGCCUCCAAUAGUGGAGGGAAUUCCCCACAAAAUUAAACCUAAAACUCCUAAUGAAUGUCCUCAUCUAGAAU
rnacentral:lncRNA from 1 species